rnacentral:rRNA from 1 species
ACGAAUUCGCCCUUAGAGUUUGAUCCUGGCUCAGGAUGAACGCUAGCUACAGGCUUAACACAUGCAAGUCGAGGGGAAACGACAUCGAAAGCUUGCUUUUGAUGGGCGUCGACCGGCGCACGGGUGAGUAACGCGUAUCCAACCUGCCCACCACUUGGGGAUAACCUUGCGAAAGUAAGACUAAUACCCAAUGACGUCUCUAGAAGACAUCUGAAGGAGAUUAAAGAUUUAUCGGUGAUGGAUGGGGAUGCGUCUGAUUAGCUUGUUGGCGGGGUAACGGCCCACCAAGGCGACGAUCAAUAGGGGUUCUGAGAGGAAGGUCCCCCACAUUGGAACUGAGACACGGUCCAAACUCCUACGGGAGGCAGCAGUGAGGAAUAUUGGUCAAUGGACGAGAGUCUGAACCAGCCAAGUAGCGUGCAGGAUGACGGCCCUAUGGGUUGUAAACUGCUUUUAUAAAGGAAUAAAGUGAGUCUCGUGAGACUUUUUGCAUGUACCUUAUGAAUAAGGACCGGCUAAUUCCGUGCCAGCAGCCGCGGUAAUACGGAAGGUCCGAGCGUUAUCCGGAUUUAUUGGGUUUAAAGGGAGCGUAGGCCGGAGAUUAAGCGUGUUGUGAAAUGUAGACGCUCAACGUCUGCACUGCAGCGCGAACUGGUUUCCUUGAGUACGCACAAAGUGGGC